AUCUGGGCAAGAUGUACAUGCUACACCCUGUCCCCACCGUCCUCCCAAGUGUCCUGGUCACUGCCUGGGCCUCGGUUUGGACCUUCCACAUGUCAGGUCAGAGGAAAGUGUGCCUGAGUGAGAAUCACCAGUAUUGUUACAGAUCAUGUAAACUUGAUCCCUGUGCUUUGUGUCUGAAGAGACUCAAGUACUGAGCGUCAACAUGUGAAGUGGAGGAGAGUGGAACAAGCCUGAUUCUCCCGAGUCCUAGUCCUGAGGAAAAAAGUGGACGACCUAUACUUCUGGCCAAGACAGAGUAACAGGGACUGGAUUGAUGACCCGCCCGCAGUGAUGAAUAUAUAAAACCAGGAACAAAUCAUGUUUAAGACCCUUGAUUCAUGCCUAAGGGACAGUAAACAAAGGAGCCCAUGAUUUUUUGAGAUUAGCGCCUUCAGAGAAUUUUCUGGCUGGGGUCCAGGGAGUAGGAACUGAAGCCAAGAAGGACCACUAGUUCCCUGCGGUGGGGAGAGGAAAUGGAGAUUCCAGAGUAGCGACAACAGCUCAAGUUUGCAGGACUGAGAAUUCCCGACAGGUGCCAAAAAUGCCCGGGAAGCAGUCUGGAAAGUGUGAACGACCACUCGUGUUGGAGGGAAGUCCUACCACCCGGGAAGGACCUUCUGAGAAGAUGGAAGAACUGUGCUCAGGGCAGCCUCUGGUUCGGAGGGCGUAGCUGCUGCCACGGCACAGACCCCCUCCUAACUCCUGGGGUUCGGGGAGGAGGAAGGUGGGCGUCUUCUAUCCUGGGAGUGGGUGUCUACCUAGACUAAAAUCCCAUGCUCUGCCCUGGCCUGAAAGUCCUGAAAGCAAGAGCCAGAGCAAUUCAACUGCUUGUAAGCCAUGUAAGCCUGUCCUAGUACAAAAUACAUUUAUCCAAAACAGUUACUCAGCACCCAAGAGAAACUCCCACGAGGUCUGACGGCCGACUGAGAUAACUGAGCAUACAAAACAAAAAAUUCAUAAUUAGAAAAACUCAGUCAAAACAAGAACAGGCAUGAGUCAAAAGGACUGAAGUAAUUAUACCUUGCAUACAUUUAAAAGAUGUGGAAGGUAGGAAUAAAAACUCAAACUGAA